CACUCUAAGCACCAUCACCACUACAGUGCACCUUUGGGGUUAUGGUGCCCACAGUCUCCUAGUGCCAUACUAUGAUAAAUUGUUGUGUCAUUUUCAAAUGAUUUGAUGCUUACCUAGAUCUGUUGGGCUCUAUGUUCUAUCUGAGCUGAUAUGCUAAAGUAGUAGUAGAGAAGUAAAGUAGAAGUCCUGCACCUUGUCAGACUUCCUCCAUUAUAAAUUCAUAUUGUGUUCAUACAGCACAGCCCUCACCCUUGCUAAACAAUCCUAC